GUGAGUGCGUACGUAUGCCUACAUGUCUACUCUGUGUGCGUGUGUCUGUGUGUGUGUGUGUGUGUGUGUGUGUGCUUAUGUGUGUGUGUGUGUGUGUGUGUGU